rnacentral:rRNA from 1 species
AUUGAACGCUGGCGGCAGGCCUAACACAUGCAAGUCGAGCGGGAACUUCGGUUCUAGCGGCGGACGGGUGAGUAAUGCGUAGGAAGCUACCCGACAGAGGGGGAUACCAGUUGGAAACGACUGUUAAUACCGCAUAAUGUCUACGGACCAAAGUGUGGGACCUUCGGGCCACAUGCUGUCGGAUGCGCCUACGUGGGAUUAGCUAGUUGGUGAGGUAAUGGCUCACCAAGGCGACGAUCCAUAGCUGGUUUGAGAGGAUGAUCAGCCACACUGGAACUGAGACACGGUCCAGACUCCUACGGGAGGCAGCAGUGGGGAAUAUUGGACAAUGGGCGAAAGCCUGAUCCAGCCAUGCCGCGUGUGUGAAGAAGGCCUUCGGGUUGUAAAGCACUUUCAGUAGGGAGGAAGAGUUGAGUGUUAAUAGUACUCAGCUUUGACGUUACCUACAGAAGAAGCACCGGCUAACUCUGUGCCAGCCGCCGCCGUAACAC